AUUGAACGCUGGCGGCAGGCCUAACACAUGCAAGUCGAACGAGUGGCGGACGGGUGAGUAAUGUCUGGGAAACUGCCUGAUGGAGGGGGAUAACUACUGGAAACGGUAGCUAAUACCGCAUACCAUCAGAUGUGCCCAGAUGGGAUUAGCUUGUUGGUGGGGUAACGGCUCACCAAGGCGACGAUCCCUAGCUGGUCUGAGAGGAUGACCAGCCACACGGGAACUGGGAACCGGUCCAGGAUCCUACGGGAAGCAACCGGGGGGAAUAUUGCACAAUGGGCGCAAGGCUGAUGCAGCCAUGCCGCGGGUAUGGAGAAGGCCUUCGGGUUGUAAAGUAAUUUCAGCGGGGAGGCGUUACCCGCAGAAGAAGCACCGGCUAACUCCGUGCCAGCAGCCGCUGUAAUAC
rnacentral:rRNA from 1 species